ensembl:snRNA U6 U6 spliceosomal RNA
GAGCUCGCUUCGGCAGCACAUAUACUAAAAAUUGGAACGAUACAGAGAAGAUUAGCAUGGUCCCUGCCCAAGGAUGACACGCAAAUUCGUGAAGCGUUCAACGAAUCG